rnacentral:rRNA from 1 species
UACGUAGGGUGCAAGCGUUGUCCGGAAUUAUUGGGCGUAAAGAGCUUGUAGGCGGUCUGUCGCGUCGGCUGUGAAAACCCGGGGCUCAACCCCGGGCCUGCAGUCGAUACGGGCAGACUAGAGUGUGGUAGGGGAGACUGGAAUUCCUGGUGUAGCGGUGAAAUGCGCAGAUAUCAGGAGGAACACCGGUGGCGAAGGCGGGUCUCUGGGCCGAUACUGACGCUGAGGAGCGAAAGCGUGGGGAGCGAACAGG